rnacentral:lncRNA from 1 species
GGGCUAAGAGGAGCCAAAGAGAAGAUACUGCAUGAAGAAUGGGCUUUUUCCUCAUCCUCCUACCUGAGACAUCCUGGCAGUGAGUGCUGUCCACAGAGAGAGCUGAGUUGUGUAUAUGUGAUUGAGAGCUCAGUAGAACAGCUUUGUAGACCAAAUCAAGACCUCAAUUCACUUGAAAUAGUAAUUGACUCAGAUGAUGUCUCUGUUUUAAGAAUGUUUCUAAGAUUCCCCAUCUUCUUCAAUUAUGGGACUUCCAAAAUUACAGCUUUUCAGACUAUAAUUGCUCCAAGUGGAAAAUAAUCUCAAAGUAAAAGAAAGAUCAAAUGAGAAAAAUUUCAGUGAUAGAACAUGAAACAGCCUGUCCACAGAGCCAAAUCACAAUUUUUUAAAAAAAGAAGAAAAAUAGGAGAAGGAGAUCUAAAUCAGUAAUUCCUUCAACAAAUAUCAGUUAAUGAACUAUGGUAUAACAGCUAUUAGAGUAAGAGAUGAAAAUACAAACCAUGAGCAAAACACAUUGAGUCUCUGCUCAGAGGAAUAUUAGAAUCUAUGGUGGACAACAAGUGACCACAAGAAAAAUGUGAAAUGGAAAAAUGAAUAAUAGGUGAGUUUUUGGUGCUAUGAGGACAUUCAAUUAGCAUAUGAUACACCCAGUGGCUCUUGGAUCACUUAUCCAGUUAAAAAAAUGAUGGAGCUAAGAUCUGAAGAUUAGUGUAUACCAAGGAUAUGGAGUAGGAAAAUCACAUUUGAAUAAAUAAAUGAAGGCCAAUUUGGUUGGAAAUGAG